ACGAGAAAGUCAGAUACAGAUGAAGAUAUACCUGCACAGUCCUGAAUGUGACAUCAAGAUGAAUUUAAGUCAAAUCCUGAUGCAAAGGAUUUGAAUGUGUCUCUCUGGCCCGGAAGAUGUGGUCCAAGGUUUCUCAGCAGGGAGAAGGUGGAGGUGGGGGAGACAUCAUCCUUGGAGGUGUUCCAGAACCAUGGAGAUGUAGCCUUGAGGGUCAUGUUUCAAAUGCAGCUGUAAUGUACAAGAAGAGGGGCAGAGCUCUGAAGACCUGACAUGAUCACAUCCUAUGACCACAUCUGCUGUGCGACCUCCUCAACUGCCAUCUUUUUGAAGCCUUCUCUUCAAGACAGAGACCCAAAGAAGUGCCACACACACAGCAGCUGGAGCAGCCAAAGAGUUAAAUCACUUCCCAUCACCGUUUGUGUGGGAUACAGAAACAACUUUUCCUACUGCAUCCGCAGCUGCCAGCAGAACUCGGUGACAGCUUUAUAAAUCGCACCUGAAGCAAAU